UACGUAGGGGUGCAAGCGUUUAAUCGGGAAUUACUGGGCGUAAAGCGUGCGCAGGCGGUUGUACAAGACAGAGGUGAAAUCCCCCAGGCUCAACCUGGGAACUGCGUCCGAUACUGGAUGGCUUGAAUCCGGGAGAGGGAUGCAGAAUUCCAGGUGUAGCGGUGAAAUGCGUAGAUAUCUGGAGGAAUACCGGUGGCGAAGGCGGCAUCCUGGACCGGCAUUGAC
rnacentral:rRNA from 1 species